rnacentral:lncRNA from 1 species
GGAGGCAAGUGUAUUACGGCGAGCAGUGAGACAGGGGCAUGAAGCAGGUGUGCAAGGCCACUUGCUGCUACACUAAUUGCCUGACGGAGCACUGGCCGCCGGCUCCCCGGUGCCCACUGCCCGCCGGUGGACUCCCUGGUUGUGCACAAUGGAGAUGAACCUGCGUCGGCACCCUGCAGCCUGGAUAGAGCUUUGCCAGUGGUGGUGAUGAAUGUGUUGUCUGCGCUGGUGAUGUCGCUCUCCAUCAUCAACUUUCAACACCGGCUAUCAGAGUGUAGAGAUCAUAUCGUGGAUUUUUUUUCCAGAGAUGUUCUCCCGUCGUUGUUUGCUGUCGAAUUUGUAAUGCAUUCUGUCCCUAUGUCUGUGUCUUCACCACUUCGUCCUCCUGCACAAUCAACAGAACAUAGCAACUGCCGCGAGUUGGCCAUUCAUCUCUUCGAGUGAUUCAAACCUAGGAAGCCUGCUACUUGUGCAAGCAACAUGUUAAGAAGUUUCAGUUUUCUCACUAAUGCACCUCAAUUGGUAAGGAUAGAAGAAUGUCAGUUUGCUUUAUGUUGGUUUUCUAAUUUCUACAUAUUCCUUUCUUACAGACUCUGCCUUGAAGGAAAUCUAAUUAUCUAGGUAUAUGGAAAGGAGGUAAAUUCUGUAAAAGGACAGACCCAGUGCAUAGAAGCUCCCACACAAGGUGGUGUCUGGGAAGGGAUUAUAGGAACCUAGUCUUACCCCUGCAAAGUGCAAUGCAGAGAGGCUGGUUCGAACCCAGGACCUCUUGGCACAAGUGGGGAGGACUUCACCACUGCGCCAGGCCUGCCCUCAAAGGAGGUAAAUUCUGUAACUAUAUAUUUGUGUGUACUCAUGCUCUGCUAUGCAGAUUGAGGAGAAAGAGUUAUUUUAUUGUGAUGAUGAUUAAUCUUUUCAUCUUGUGAUCUCCUUUGCUCCAGUUGUGCUAAUAUUUUUUUGCACAUCAGUAGGACUGAAAUGUUCCAGAUACCAGUAGGUUUUUUUUAGUUCUGUCUGAGUAUCUUGAUUUUGGAAAAUGUGGUGUACU